rnacentral:rRNA from 1 species
GCUUAACACAUGCAAGUCGAGGGGCAGCACAGGUAGCAAUACCGGGUGGCGACCGGCGCACGGGUGAGUAACGCGUAUGCAACUUACCUAUCAGAGGGGGAUAACCCGGCGAAAGUCGGACUAAUACCGCAUGAAGCAGGGGCCCCGCAUGGGGAUAUUUGCUAAAGAUUCAUCGCUGAUAGAUAGGCAUGCGUUCCAUUAGGCAGUUGGUGGGGUAACGGCCCACCAAACCGACGAUGGAUAGGGGUUCUGAGAGGAAGGUCCCCCACAUUGGUACUGAGACACGGACCAAACUCCUACGGGAGGCAGCAGUGAGGAAUAUUGGUCAAUGGCCGAGAGGCUGAACCAGCCAAGUCGCGUGAGGGAUGAAGGUUCUAUGGAUCGUAAACCUCUUUUAUAAGGGAAUAAAGUGCGGGACGUGUCCCGUUUUGUAUGUACCUUAUGAAUAAGGAUCGGCUAACUCCGUGCCAGCAGCCGCGGUAAUACGGAGGAUCCGAGCGUUAUCCGGAUUUAUUGGGUUUAAAGGGUGCGUAGGCGGCCUUUUAAGUCAGCGGUGAAAGUCUGUGGCUCAACCAUAGAAUUGCCGUUGAAACUGGGGGGCUUGAGUAUGUUUGAGGCAGGCGGAAUGCGUGGUGUAGCGGUGAAAUGCAUAGAUAUCACGCAGAACCCCGAUUGCGAAGGCAGCCUGCCAAGCCAUGACUGACGCUGAUGCACGAAAGCGUGGGGAUCAAACAGGAUUAGAUACCCUGGUAGUCCACGCAGUAAACGAUGAUCACUAGCUGUUUGCGAUACACUGUAAGCGGCACAGCGAAAGCGUUAAGUGAUCCACCUGGGGAGUACGCCGGCAACGGUGAAACUCAAAGGAAUUGACGGGGGCCCGCACAAGCGGAGGAACAUGUGGUUUAAUUCGAUGAUACGCGAGGAACCUUACCCGGGUUUGAACGCAUUCGGACCGAGGUGGAAACACCUUUUCUAGCAAUAGCCGUUUGCGAGGUGCUGCAUGGUUGUCGUCAGCUCGUGCCGUGAGGUGUCGGCUUAAGUGCCAUAACGAGCGCAACCCUUGCCACUAGUUACUAACAGGUAAAGCUGAGGACUCUGGUGGGACUGCCAGCGUAAGCUGCGAGGAAGGCGGGGAUGACGUCAAAUCAGCACGGCCCUUACAUCCGGGGCGACACACGUGUUACAAUGGCGUGGACAAAGGGAGGCCACCUGGUGACAGGGAGCGAAUCCCCAAACCACGUCUCAGUUCGGAUCGGAGUCUGCAACCCGACUCCGUGAAGCUGGAUUCGCUAGUAAUCGCGCAUCAGCCAUGGCGCGGUGAAUACGUUCCCGGGCCUUGUACACACCGCCCGUCAAGCCAUGGGAGCCGGGGGUACCUGAAGUCCGUAACCGGGAGGAUCGGCCUAGGGUAAAACUGGUGACUGGGGCU